rnacentral:rRNA from 1 species
UACGUAGGGGGCGAGCGUUAAUCGGAUUUACUGGGCGUAAAGCGUGCGCAGGCGGCCCGUUAAGACAGGUGUGAAAUCCCUGGGCUCAACCUAGGAAUUGCGCUUUGGACUGGCGGGCUCGAGUACGGUAGAGGGGGGUAGAAUUCCCGGUGUAGCGGUGAAAUGCGUAGAGAUCAGGAGGAACACCGAUGGCGAAGGCAGCCCCCUGGGCCUGUACUGACGCUGAGGCACGAAAGCGUGGGGAGCAAACAGG